CAUAUAUACUACAACAUCUUUUUACAUCUAUAUAUAUGUAUAAUGUACUAUUUUAUUAGGGUGGUGGGGUGUAUAUAGGAAAAAGCAAAAGGACAAACAUAAACAGAAGAAGAAGAUAAAGUAUAGUUGUGAUGACUAGAAAAAAAAACUACUACUAUGAUUUGUUAUAUUGUUGAGUUGAAACCAAUCACUUUGUUCUAGCAAUAAACCAUCAUUGUCUACACAUACAGGCUUUUUUACUCACUUACUACUAAAAACUCAUUUCAAAGUUUCAAUCUUUUUGAUCUAUUUUUUCAGUUCUUGGAUUUAUUUAGGCAAUUGGUUGGUUUUAUGGGGUUUUGAGAAAGAUUCAAGAAAGUUAACUUUUUUUUUUUUGAGUGUUUGGAUUUAUUUAGCCAAUUGGUUUUGUGGGGUUUUGAGAAAGGUUCAAGAAAGUUAAAUUUUUUUUUUUUUUUUUUGUGUGUGUGUGUUUUUGGAUUUAUUUAGGCAAUUUGGUUUUAUGGGGUUUUGAGAAAGAUUCAAGAAAGUGAUUUUUUUUUUUUUUGUGUUUUGUGGUAAAGUUUUGAACAUUUUUGUGUGGGAUUCUUGAUUUUGGGUGCAAUCUUUUUUGUGUGUGUGUGUUUUGUGGUAAAGUUUUGAACUUUUUUUGUGUGGGAUUCUUGAUUUUGGGUGCAAUCUUUUUUGUGUGUGUGUGUGUUUUGUGGUAAAGUUUUGAACUUUUUUGUGUGGGAUUCUUGAUUUUGGGUGCAAUCUUUUUGUGCGUCUGUUUGUGUGUGUUUUGUGGUAAAGUUUAGAACUUUUUUGUGUGGGAUUCUUGAUUUUGGGUGCAAUCUUUUUUGUGUGUGUGUGUUUUGUGGUAAAGUUUUGAACUUUUUUUGUGUGGGAUUCUUGAUUUUGGGUGCAAUCUUUUUUGUGUGUGUGUGUUUUGUGGUAAAGUUUUGAACUUUUUUGUGUGGGAUUCUUGAUUUUGGGUGCAAUCUUUUUGUGCGUCUGUUUGUGUGUGUUUUGUGGUAAAGUUUUGAACUUUUUUGUGUGGGAUUCUUGAUUUUGGGUGCAAUCAUUUUUGUGUGUGUGUUUUGUGGUAAAGUUUUGAACUUUUUUUGUGUGGGAUUCUUGAUUUUGGGUGCAAUUUUUUUUUGUGGGGUUCAAGAAAAUGACUGUGGAAGAAAUUAGAGGGAAUAUGGUUGGUGGUGGUGAAAGGGUAAAUAAUUAUGACAAUUUCCCAAUUGGUAUGAGAGUUCUUGCUGUUGAUGAUGACCCUAUUUGUUUGAAGCUUUUGGAUACUUUGCUCAGGAAAUGCCAGUAUCAGGCAACUACCACAAGUCAAGCAAGGAUGGCAUUGAAGAUGUUGAGGGAGAAUAGAGAUAGAUUUGAUUUGGUUAUCAGUGAUGUUCACAUGCCUGAUAUGGAUGGCUUUAAACUUCUUGAACUUGUUGGUCUUGAGAUGGAUCUUCCCGUCAUAAUGUUGUCUGCAAACAGCGAUACCAGACUUGUAAUGAAGGGAAUCAGUCAUGGUGCUUGUGACUAUCUGGUGAAACCUGUGCGGAUCGAGGAGUUGAGGAAUAUAUGGCAACAUGUGGUCAGAAGAAAGAAGGUUGAACCUAAGAGCCAGAGCAAGUCUAGCGAUCAUGACAAAUCUUAUCAGGGAAGUGGAGAAAGUGGCCGAGGGCAAUCACCAACAGAUCAAAAUGGCAAAUGUAACAAGAAAAGGAAGGAAGAAGAAGACGAGAAUGAUGAAAAUGGGAAUGACAAUGAUGAUCCAACAACUCAGAAGAGAGCUCGUGUCGUUUGGUCCAUAGAGCUUCACAGGAAGUUUGUUGCAGCUGUCGGUCAGUUGGGCAUCGAAAAAGCUGUCCCAAAGAGGAUUCUUGAUCUGAUGAAUGUUGAGGGGCUUACAAGGGAAAAUGUGGCAAGCCAUCUCCAGAAGUAUAGGCUUUACUUGAAAAGAAUCAAUUCAGUACAAACCCAGCAAGCCAACAUGGUUGCUGCAUUAGGGGGAAGGGACUUUAUGCGAAUGGGCUCACUGGACGGGUUUGGAGAUUUUCGAACAUUGGGUGGAUCAGGACGGUAUCCUCAUGCUGCCUUGUCAUCAUCGUACACUUCGCCCGGAGGAGGCAUGCUUGGCAGACUAAAUAGUGCUGCUGGUCUAAGCGUUCGCCAGCUGGCAGGAUCUCAUGGUCAAACUUUGAGCAACCCCGUUAAUGCUUUCACAAAACUGAAUCCAAAUAUUUUACCUGCUAGCCAGAAUGCUAGUUUAUUUCAAGGAAUUCCUGCAUCAUUGGAGCUUGAUCAACUGCAGCAGAGUAAGUCCACGGGGCAUAUUCCUUUGGAUGAUGUGCUCGGUUGCUCAAAUAACUCCUUAUCCAAUGUACCAAAUAAUCCUAUAUUGCUUCAAGGAAAUCCCGUUGGAAAUCAGCACUCUCUAAGCAUGACUCCAUUUAGCUCAGACUCGUUCAAUGCUGGUGUUAAUGGUUCUUCCAACUGGCAAAAUUCCGUUCAGUUAUCGAAGUUCCAGUCAAGUUCUUUCCCGUUGACUGAAUCCUUCAUUAACAGCCAUUUGCCUCAAAAUAGUGUGAGAGAAGCUGCGACAACUCAUUUACAAAACAGCCCUCUUGAUUUUACUUCCACUGCCACAGUUUCUCCUCCUUUUGAAGAUUCUUCAAGGGGAGAAAUCCAAUACCGUGAAAGUAUGGCUGGUGCUGUUCAGAGUAUGAAUCAACCACCAUCUCAAGCAUGGGCCGAUAAUAAACAACGUUUUUCCCACAACUCAAAUAAUACUUUCGGCAAUAACUUAAGCUCUCAGGUUCCAAACAAUGGUAGCAUGGCUUCUCUAAGGAUGGACAUGUCAUUGAUUGGUAGAUCGAAUGGAGGUUCUUCGACACUCGUGCAGCACACCGAGCAUGAAAAGUUAACCCCGGAUUCAAGGACAAGGUCAAAUGAAGACUACCUCUUGGAGCCAACCAGGCAACAAGUAGGUUUUAGUCCACAAGGCUAUGACUCCCUGGAUGAUUUAAUGAGUGCAAUGAAACGGAGGGCUUGAUGACAUAUUUUGCUUCCCCAACAAUAACAACCAAUGCCACAAAAGCGGGCUGAAUCAAAUGGCUCUGUUGGCUAUCUCUUCCUAUAGCUUCUUGGGAUUAAACACUGUUUCCCCGUGGGGUUAUUUGAUGUCAAUAAGGAGCAAGAUGGAGGAAUGUUAGAUGCAGAACAAUAUGGAUUUGAUAAUUAUCCUUUUGGAUCAUGACUAUGAAGGAUUUUGUAGCUGUCAGUGAAUUCAGCAAGAAGAGGAUCUAGCUAGGUUGCAGCAAUACUAAUUUUCUCCUUUAGGAGUUAGUGUCAAUAUGUAGUAUUUGCCGGGCUUUUAUCCCACGUUAGUCCCGCCUUAUUCGUUAUUUUCUCCUGGAAAUGAUGUUAUUGACAGUACAAUUUCUAAUGCAAAUUGCUUGCUGCUUCUUAGCUCGUUUGCUUUGA